GGGUUGUGAGGUUAAGCGACUAAGCGUACACGGUGGAUGCCCUGGCAGUCAGAGGCGAUGAAGGGCGUGCUAAUCUGCGAUAAGCGCCGGUAAGGUGAUAUGAACCGCAAUAACCGGCGAUACCCGAAUGGGGAAACCCAGUGUGUUUCGACACACUAUCAUGCAGUGAAUACAUAGCUGUAUGAGGCGAACCGGGGGAACUGAAACAUCUAAGUACCCCGAGGAAAAGAAAUCAACCGAGAUUCCCCCAGUAGCGGCGAGCGAACGGGGAGGAGCCC
rnacentral:rRNA from 1 species